rnacentral:lncRNA from 1 species
AAACUUCGAACAGGACAAGCCCGAAGCCCGCUUCUCCGGGAGACGGGGUGCCACAACUGCAAGGAUGCUGAAAUGAGACCUUUUAUGUCAGAGACUACUCGGCCUCCACUCUAAAAUGACUUGGUUGAUGGAAGAACUGAUUCCCUGAGGAGGGGAAAGAUUCAGGGAAGAGCCUGUCCUGGGUAAUGAGAAGAGCACUGAAAAGAGCAUCACAUCAGAAUAUCGAGGUGGGCCUGGAAGUUGGUGGGAGUGUGGCCUGGAUGUGGAAGGCGGGACCUGUCUUUGGCUCACCUGCCUUCCCACAGCUCACCUGGAGCUGUGGCACCAGCAGUAGAGCCCGGUCAUGGAGUGUGGUGCCCUCAGACUGCUGUCACACCACCUCUGUGAUGGAGAACAAGUUCAGCAGCCUUCAGUAAACAUACAAGCUGGACAGCUAGGGCUUCUGGCCAACCAGAUGCAGCAAGGUGGAAUUCCACUGCAAAGUGUACAGCAACUUAGUAUGUGGAGAUGAACAGCAGCAAGGUGGUUUUAAUGGCAUGCCCUAUGCCACCAUGCUCAGGGGAGAUGCUGCUGCUUGCCAGAAGCAUGGGGAUGGCAGGCCUGAGGCUCCACUUCACUGAACUCUACCAUCAUUAUAGAAGUUUUGGAGUAGCCUACGAAAGACAGAAUCAUGUCAUUGGUCAGAAGACAAAAUCCUGUACAGUGAGUAGUUCUCACUGUAGAUAUGUAGAUUUAUUACCCUAAAAACAAUGCUAAUUUGGCGUUGGUUCAUUUAGCACCUGCUAUGAACAAAUGCCUAAAAUUAGAAGCGGUUUCUCCUAAAGUAAGAUUACAGGAGGCCAGGCGCGG